AUUGCAAAAUUGUGUGGAGUUGCCCCUUGGGUAAAAAUCAGAAUUUACAUUUUGGUUUUAAAUUUUAUAAGUAGCCUUGGCUGUGUACAUUUGAGUAAAGAGAGCACUAUAAAAUCAAAAACCAGUGAAAUGGUUUCCAGAACACAGAACUAUUAAGCUUAAGAAAAGGACAGAAGGAACUGAAGAGAGAGGAACUGUUUUGGAGCAUCACACUUCCACCUCAGAAGAAAUAAGGAAGGAAGGAGGAGGGUGUUCCCACGGCUCUUCAACCAGGCCGGCUCUUCAGCCUACAUCCCCAUCUCAUCAAGUAAAAGGGAUUUUUCAACUGGACCAACCAGAUGGUUUAACAGUGCACUCCCACACCAUUCAACUACGCAAGGGAGAUACACUUAACAUAUGCAGUCGUAUAACACCUACUAACAUUUUCAAACAUUAAACCUUUAAAAAAGAGUUCUAAAGAAAUAGAAGCUUGAAGUAUCAUCUCUCAAGUAUAUAGACACUACUUCAUGGUGUGGUAAUAUAUGCAUAUAGAAGCUAGUAAACACCUCCAGGAGAUGCAAAAGGAAUUAGAACUGCCACAAGGUGCAAGC
rnacentral:lncRNA from 1 species